rnacentral:rRNA from 1 species
UACGUAGGGUGCAAGCGUUGUCCGGAAUUAUUGGGCGUAAAGAGCUCGUAGGCGGCUUGUCGCGUCGGCUGUGAAAACCUGGGGCUCAACCCCGGGCCUGCAGCCGAUACGGGCAGACUAGAGUUCGGUAGGGGAGUCUGGAAUUCCUGGUGUAGCGGUGAAAUGCGCAGAUAUCAGGAGGAACACCGGUGGCGAAGGCGGGUCUCUGGGCCGUUACUGACGCUGAGGAGCGAAAGCGUGGGGAGCGAACAGG